rnacentral:lncRNA from 1 species
GUAUCAUUGGCCUUGCAUGUACAUGCGACCUUUAUAAAGCUUCAGCGUACUUUUGAUUGUAACAUAUUGAUCAUAUACACGUAACAACAUAGGGAUGUUAAUAAUUUUCUAAAGAAAUUUGGCAAUGGUUUGUAUAGUUUAAGCAUAUAGGGAAAAUUUUAAGUCUUUUAAUAAUUAUUUUUAUAAGUUAAGAGAUUUUUAUUGGUUUACAUUCAAUAAUGAAUUUUUGUAAAAAAAGAAAACUGCAGUCAGCUGAUAUUUUCUUCCUUCUAAUGUCCAUUUAAACAUUAGCUAUAUGUAUACGUAUCUAUUAAACUACCUACUAUUAAAAUUUAAAAAGGUAUAAACAUGUAAAUACCACCAAUUUAGGAUUAUAAGAUUUAAACUUAACAAGGAGACAAAUCUAUGGUAAUAAGAUUUAUACAAAUGUAUAUACAUGUACAUGUAGAUGAGUAUUUAUUUACCAGGUAAUCAAUUUAUAAAUAAUAUAUACUUUAAAUCUGUUAAAUGUUUUAAAGUUUUUAAUUACUUUACAUAAAUAUUUACAUAGAUAAUCCAGGAUUAUUGGAAUACAGUAAAUUUAUAGUUUGACAAUUUUCUUACAACAUGACAUGAUGUAGUAAUAAGAUUAAGUACAACUUUACAUCUAAAUAACUGGAACAAGGAUAUUACCUUGACAUUUGUCCUUUUUUAUUUCAGAAGAUAACUGGACGGGACAUGGACUAUUUGAAAUUAGCUGGAGCAGGGGCCAUAACUCUAAGUGCUGUUUCCACAGCAACAUAUUUAUAUCUGACACAGAAUCCAAAUCCUGUUCCUUCAGCUGUAGACCUGAACAACCAAACCAUAAUAAUCAAGG